rnacentral:rRNA from 1 species
UGCCUAACACAUGCAAGUCGAGCGGGAAAGUUCCUUUCGGGGAGCGAGUACAGCGGCGCACGGGUGAGUAACACGUAGGUAACCUACCCUGGAGUCUGGGAUAGCCUGCCGAAAGGCGGGCUAAUACCGGAUAAGACCACGAGGGCUGCGGCCCUUGGGGAAAAAGAUGGCCUCUGCUUGCAAGCUAUCACUUUGGGAUGGGCCUGCGCGCCAUUAGCUAGUUGGUGAGGUAACGGCUCACCAAGGCAGAGAUGGCUAGCUGGUCUGAGAGGAUGGCCAGCCACACUGGGACUGAGACACGGCCCAGACUCCUACGGGAGGCAGCAGUGGGGAAUAUUGCGCAAUGGGCGAAAGCCUGACGCAGCGACGCCGCGUGGGUGAUGAAGGCCUUCGGGUCGUAAAGCCCUGUCAAGAGGGACGAAACCUCGUCGACCUAACACGUCGGCGACCUGACGGUACCUCUGAAGGAAGCACCGGCUAACUCCGUGCCAGCAGCCGCGGUAAUACGGAGGGUGCAAGCGUUGUUCGGAAUCACUGGGCGUAAAGCGCGUGUAGGCGGCCUUCUCAGUCUGGUGUGAAAGCCCGGGGCUCACCCCCGGAAGUGCAUUGGAUACUGGGAA